UGGGCUUGGGUGCUGCUUUCUGCUUCACUGCCUCCUGUCUUCCCCUUCCACACCACGGACUGUUUCUUCUCUGUGAUGCCACCCUGCACUGGAGCCAGUCAACUAUGAACUGAAACCUCUACAAACUGUGAACCACAAUAGACCUUUACGCUUUUAAUUUGGAUGCUUUAUAAUUUGUCUCAGCAAUGAGGAAAGUGACUAAGACAUCCUGGAACACGUCAAUAAGACUCUCCAAAAACCUGGGAAAACCUGCCCCUGGUUCAUGUGGGUACCUGAGCGACUUAAAAUUGAAAGAUGCUGGUUGAACUCAGAGCAGCAGAACGGAAGCACUCUUUCCCUAAGCGUGUAGAGUUUCCUCUCCUUUAAUUGAGUGUGUGUAUGUGUAAAGAUUUCCACCAGACAGAUCUCAUCACCAAAGUCAGUCCAAAGCAGCUCUAAAAGUUGUGUGUUUCACCAAAAUUUCUCUACACACUGUGCUUUACCUCUCUCUCUCUCUCUCUCUCUCUCUCUCUCUCUCUCUCUCUCUCUCUUUCUCUUCCUGUCUCUCUCUUUGUAUCAGGAAUCGAACUCAGGACUUUGACUUUCCCAGGCAGUCUCUUGUGCUGUUGAGCUAGACCCCAAGUACUACAUCCUAUACUUUUGAAUUGUUCAACAUAAAUACAUUUUUUAAAAACCCCAGCAAGAAUAAUAGUUGUACAAGCAUUUAUUAUUUAAGAAUGAUUAAACUGUAAAAGUUUCCAUUGAAAAGAGAGAUUUUGAAGAAAAUAUUCUUAUCUCCUUGAUCCUUGAUAGACAUAAUUCAAAAAUCAAUGACAAAUUUUUUAAAAAUGUGCUUUUUAUAUAAAAUAGCAUAUAUCAAUAUAUCCAAUAGUGAGCGACAUGAUGAUUGUCAUAAAAAAUUUAAUAAAUGUUGACAAAUGUAUCACUAUGAGUUCAUUCCAUAUUAAGAUAAAAAUGUUUUUCUGAACACUUCUAAGAGAUAUAUUGAGGGUCUUUGAAUAUUGAGACUUCUGGUAUCAACACAGUCCCUGAUAACCAUUAAUUUAUUCUCAAUGUUAUGUUGUUUUACUGCUGACUCUAUAGGACAUAGAAAAAGGAGAAUUUUAAAAAGGAGAAGAAGCUAUAAUACAGGAAACGUAAUCUCUACAGUGAAUGACACUGGUAACAUUAUACCCAUAUGCAAAAAAAAAUGAAUAUAAACAUAGACCUUACAUCCUUCACUAAAACUCAAAGUGGGUAACCACACAUAAAGUGAAAAAAUAUGUUUUUUCUCAAAAAUAAAAUGUGAGAAAAUUUGA